rnacentral:rRNA from 1 species
UACGUAGGGCGCAAGCGUUAUCCGGAAUCACUGGGCGUAAAGCGCACGUAGGCGGAUGUGUCAGUCAGGGGUGAAAUCCCGGAGCUCAACUUCGGAACUGCCUUUGAUACAGCACGUCUUGAGUCCGAUAGAGGUGGGUGGAAUUCCUAGUGUAGAGGUGAAAUUCGUAGAUAUUAGGAAGAACACCGGUGGCGAAGGCGGCCCACUGGAUCGGUACUGACGCUGAGGUGCGAAAGCGUGGGGAGCAAACAGG